rnacentral:rRNA from 1 species
UACGGGGGGGGCAAGCGUUGUUCGGAAUUACUGGGCGUAAAGGGCUCGUAGGCGGCCAACUAAGUCAGACGUGAAAUCCCUCGGCUUAACCGGGGAACUGCAUCUGAUACUGGAUGGCUUGAGUUCGGGAGAGGGAUGCGGAAUUCCAGGUGUAGCGGUGAAAUGCGUAGAUAUCUGGAGGAACACCGGUGGCGAAGGCGGCAUCCUGGACCGGCACUGACACUGAGGCACGAAAGCGUGGGGAGCAAACAGG